rnacentral:rRNA from 1 species
CCUACGGGAGGCAGCAGUGAGGAAUAUUGGUCAAUGGGAGAGAUCCUGAACCAGCCAAGCCGCGUGUGGGAAGACGGCCCUAUGGGUUGUAAACCUCUUCUGUCGGAGAACAAAACCCGGGACGUGUCCCGGACUGCGUGUAUCCGACGAAAAAGCAUCGGCCAACUCCGGGCCAGCAGCCGCGGUAAUACGGGGGAUGCGAUCGGUAUCCGGAUCUAGUGGGUUAAAGGGGUGCGUAGGCGGUCCGUUAAGUCAGCGGUAAAAUUGCGGGGCUCAACCCCGCCGAGCCGUUGAAACUGGCAGACUUGAGUUGGCGAGAAGUACGCGGAAUGCGCGGUGUAGCGGUGAAAUGCAUAGAUAUCGCGCAGAACUCCGAUUGCGAAGGCAGCGUACCGGCGCCAGACUGACGCUGAGGCACGAAAGCGUGGGGAUCGAACAGGAUUAGAUACCCGUGUAGUC